rnacentral:rRNA from 1 species
UACGUAGGGUGCAAGCGUUGUCCGGAAUUAUUGGGCGUAAAGGGCUCGUAGGCGGUUUGUCGCGUCGGGAGUGAAAACACACAGCUUAACUGUGUGCCUGCUUCCGAUACGGGCAGACUAGAGGUAUGCAGGGGAGAACGGAAUUCCUGGUGUAGCAGUGAAAUGCGCAGAUAUCAGGAGGAACACCGGUGGCGAAGGCGGUUCUCUGGGCAUUACCUGACGCUGAGGAGCGAAAGUGUGGGGAGCGAACAGG